rnacentral:rRNA from 1 species
CCUACGGGAGGCAGCAGUGGGGAAUUUUGGACAAUGGGCGCAAGCCUGAUCCAGCAAUGCCGCGUGCAGGACGAAGGCCUUCGGGUUGUAAACUGCUUUUGUACAGAACGAAAAGAGUUGGGUUAAUACCCUGGCUAUAUGACGGUACUGUAAGAAUAAGCACCGGCUAACUACGUGCCAGCAGCCGCGGUAAUA